GUGAGUAACACGUGGGUAACCUGCCCAUCAGAAGGGGAUAACACUUGGAAACAGGUGCUAAUACCGUAUAACAAUCGAAACCGCAUGGUUUUGAUUUGAAAGGCGCUUUCGGGUGUCGCUGAUGGAUGGACCCGCGGUGCAUUAGCUAGUUGGUGAGGUAACGGCUCACCAAGGCCACGAUGCAUAGCCGACCUGAGAGGGUGAUCGGCCACAUUGGGACUGAGACACGGCCCAAACUCCUACGGGAGGCAGCAGUAGGGAAUCUUCGGCAAUGGACGAAAGUCUGACCGAGCAACGCCGCGUGAGUGAAGAAGGUUUUCGGAUCGUAAAACUCUGUUGUUAGAGAAGAACAAGGAUGAGAGUAACUGUUCAUCCCUUGACGGUAUCUAACCAGAAAGCCACGGCUAACUACGUGCCAGCAGCCGCGGUAAUACGUAGGUGGCAAGCGUUGUCCGGAUUUAUUGGGCGUAAAGCGAGCGCAGGCGGUUUCUUAAGUCUGAUGUGAAAGCCCCCGGCUCAACCGGGGAGGGUCAUUGGAAACUGGGAGACUUGAGUGCAGAAGAGGAGAGUGGAAUUCCAUGUGUAGCGGUGAAAUGCGUAGAUAUAUGGAGGAACACCAGUGGCGAAGGCGGCUCUCUGGUCUGUAACUGACGCUGAGGCUCGAAAGCGUGGGGAGCAAACAGGAUUAGAUACCCUGGUAGUCCACGCCGUAAACGAUGAGUGCUAAGUGUUGGAGGGUUUCCGCCCUUCAGUGCUGCAGCUAACGCAUUAAGCACUCCGCCUGGGGAGUACGACCGCAAGGUUGAAACUCAAAGGAAUUGACGGGGGCCCGCACAAGCGGUGGAGCAUGUGGUUUAAUUCGAAGCAACGCGAAGAACCUUACCAGGUCUUGACAUCCUUUGACCACUCUAGAGAUAGAGCUUCCCCUUCGGGGGCAAAGUGACAGGUGGUGCAUGGUUGUCGUCAGCUCGUGUCGUGAGAUGUUGGGUUAAGUCCCGCAACGAGCGCAACCCUUAUUGUUAGUUGCCAUCAUUCAGUUGGGCACUCUAGCAAGACUGCCGGUGACAAACCGGAGGAAGGUGGGGAUGACGUCAAAUCAUCAUGCCCCUUAUGACCUGGGCUACACACGUGCUACAAUGGGAAGUACAACGAGUUGCGAAGUCGCGAGGCUAAGCUAAUCUCUUAAAGCUUCUCUCAGUUCGGAUUGCAGGCUGCAACUCGCCUGCAUGAAGCCGGAAUCGCUAGUAAUCGCGGAU
rnacentral:rRNA from 1 species